rnacentral:rRNA from 1 species
AGUCGAACGGACUUACAUUGAAGCCUAGCGAUAUGUAAGUUAGUGGCGGACGGGUGAGUAACGCGUGGGUAACCUGCCUUGUGCUGGGGGACAACAGUUGGAAACGACUGCUAAUACCGCAUAAGCGCACAGCUUCGCAUGAAGCAGUGUGAAAAACUCCGGUGGUACAAGAUGGACCCGCGUCUGAUUAGCUGGUUGGUGAGGUAACGGCCCACCAAGGCGACGAUCAGUAGCCGGCCUGAGAGGGUGAACGGCCACAUUGGGACUGAGACACGGCCCAAACUCCUACGGGAGGCAGCAGUGGGGAAUAUUGCACAAUGGGGGAAACCCUGAUGCAGCAACGCCGCGUGAGUGAAGAAGUAUUUCGGUAUGUAAAGCUCUAUCAGCAGGAAAGAAAAUGACGGUACCUGACUAAGAAGCCCCGGCUAACUACGUGCCAGCAGCCGCGGUAAUACGUAGGGGGCAAGCGUUAUCCGGAUUUACUGGGUGUAAAGGGAGCGUAGACGGUUUUGCAAGUCUGAAGUGAAAGCCCGGGGCUUAACCCCGGGAAUGCUUUGGAAACU